AAUAAUCUCAUUUUUUGUUUUUUCGUGUUUAACGUUUAAUCAUUCGUUUUAUUUGAAAUUUUUUUGCGAUUAAUAUUUUGAUAAAAUAUGAAUAGUACUUUAUACGACUAAUUUUUUAAGUUGUUUUACAAAAUUUUCAAAUAAAACGAAUGGUCAAACGUUAAACACGGUAAAAC
rfam:Oryza brachyantha chromosome 6, whole genome shotgun sequence.